AAAUCCUACAAGAGAUUCAAUAAAUCCUAAAAGGUCUUCAAAAAUCCUACAAGAGAUUCAAUAAAUCCCGCAAGAGAUUCCAUAAAUCCUACAAGAGAUUCAAAAAAUGAUAAGGGAAUUUUCAUAAAUCCUGAAAGAUCUUCAAUAAAUCCUACAAGAGAUUGAAUAAAUCCUACAAGAGAUUCCAUAAAUCCCACAAGAGAUUCCAUAAAUCCUACAAGAGAUUCAAUAAAUCCUAAAAGGUCUUCAAAAAUCCUACAAGAGAUUCAAUAAAUCCCGCAAGAGAUUCCAUAAAUCCUACAAGAGAUUCCAUAAAUCCCACAAGAGAUUCAAUAAAUGAUAAGGGAAUUUUCAUAAAUCCUACAAGAGAUUAAAUAAAUCCUAAAAGAUCUUCAAAAAUCCUACAAGAGAUUCCAUAAAUCCCACAAGAGAUUCAAUAAAUCCUAAAAGAGAUUCAAUAAAUCCCACAAGAGAUUCAAUAAAUUAUAAGGGAAUUUUCAUAAAUCCUGAAAGAUCUUCAAUAAAUCCUAAAAGAUCUUCAAUAAAUCCUACAAGAGAUUCCAUAAAUCCCACAAGAGAUUCCAUAAAUCCUAAAAGGUCUUCAAAAAUCCUAAAAGAGCUUCAACAUUAAGUUUAUUUGCAGAAAUUCCCUCACUCCUCACAUUCCUUUGAUAAAUCCUAAAAAAAUUU